AAAAUAUCCAAAUUUCAAACACUUUUCUCUUACUUCCAGUAUCUGUCAAAAGUUUUGAGUCUAGGUGGUCUAUUAGCUUUGAGGUGAUUUAUAUGGCACUGAACUCAUGAAAUAUUUUUGGAUAUUAACCCUUUGACGCGUACAAUUACAGCCUACAUCUAGGCUGGUUCCUGGAGUGUACCAUCACACCGGUGUGAUUUGAAUGUUCAGCGUGUACCCCAUACCCACUCAAUUAAGAGAACGCCACAGACAGAGAGAAGGACAAAUGAUGGGUUGAUGGCAGAUAGUGAAGGAUAAAAUGUUCAUUGUUAAAGAAAAAACAGUUGAAAGUGUCUAAAAGAUUGAAUGUUGAACUGUUAAAUUGAACCGCCUAAAGAUUUAAUCAUUUAACAGGUUUGAGCUGGGUUUUUUUUUAACUUUAUUUUGUAUUGAUAUUUGAAUGUUUAAGAGGUUGUUGUGUGAUGCAACUUUAAAAGUGUUUUAUGUGUUAUUGUUAAAUGCCAGUUUGCAUUUGUUCAACGUGGAAAGUAAUUUGAAAAAAUUUUUAUUGUUUGCAUUUGUGAAGAGUUUUGUCAUUCUUUAUUAGUAGUUGUGCAAACAACUGUCUCUCUGUCACAAGGGUGGGGUUUCAGCAAAACAUCCGCCUCUGUUAUUCUAUUCUCUCGUUGUCCCUGCUUCUCUUCUCAUCUCCUCAAAUAUAAAGCUUUGCUUUCCUUAGCAACUCCAAUGGCAUCUUACACAGUGGUCAUUGUCCCUCUCAGGAGCAGUCCUAACAGUCUGGAUGCAUUGCAGUUCUUCCUCUGGGUGAAGAAGAUGAAGGACUUAGAGAGGGAAAAGGACUUUUUGUGGAUUGGAUUGCAGGCUUUAGAGCAGGUGCGAGAGAAGUUAUGCUCCAACCUAGAAGACAACAUGGAAGUGCAAGACCAAUUCAAGAAAGGAGAGAUGAGAAAAGUGAGGUUUUUUUUGUAUCAACAUGUUUAUACCUCCUUGUGUUUAAUAUAUUUUCUAUUCAUCAGGUGUUUCCAGACCCCCCCACCCUACUGUUGGCUCAGAUUCACAGAGUGA
rnacentral:lncRNA from 1 species